GAACGAUUGGCUCAGUUGGUAAGAGCGCUUGCAUGGAAAGCGAGAGGUCGCGGGUUCAAACCCCGCAUCGUUCG